rnacentral:tRNA from 1 species
GGGGAUGUGGCUCAAUUGGUAGAGUAUCCACCUAGCAAGUGUGAGGCCCUGAGUUCAAAACCCAGUACCUCUU